CUACGGGAGGCACCAGUGGGGAAUAUUGGACAAUGGGCGAAAGCCUGAUCCAGCAAUACCGCGUGUGUGAAGAAGGCCUGCGGGUUGUAAAGCACUUUCAGUAGGGAGGAAAUGCUCAAGGUUAAUACCCUUGAGAGUUGACGUUACCUACAGAAGAAGCACCGGCUAACUCUGUGCCAGCAGCCGCGGUAAUACAGAGGUGCAAGCGUUAAUCGGAGUUACUGGGCGUAAAGGGUGCGUAGGCGGACCCUCAAGUAGGAUGUGAAAGCCCUGGGCUUAACCUAGGAACGGCAUUCGAUACUGGAGGUCUAGAGUAUGGUAGAGGGAAGUGGAAUUUCCGGUGUAGCGGUGAAAUGCGUAGAUAUCGGAAAGAACACCAGAGGCGAAGGCGACUUCCUGGACCUAUACUGACGCUGAGGCACGAAAGCGUGGGGAGCAAACAGGAUUAGAUACCCCAGUAGUC
rnacentral:rRNA from 1 species